rnacentral:rRNA from 1 species
UCGAGAAUUUUUCACAAUGGGCGCAAGCCUGAUGGAGCGACGCCGCGUGGGGGAUGAAGGGUUUCGAUCCGUAAACCCCUGUCAUUUGCGAACAAACCUUAUUCAAUAACACUGAAUGAGCUGAUUGUAGUGAAAGAGGAAGGGACGGCUAACUCUGUGCCAGCAGCCGCGGUAAUACAGAGGUCCCAAGCGUUGUUCGGAUUCACUGGGCGUAAAGGGUGCGUAGGUGGCCAGGUAAGUUUGGUGUGAAAGCUCGGAGCUUAACUCCGAAAUGUCAUUGAAUACUAUCUGGCUGGAGGGUCGGAGGGGAGACUGGAAUUCUCGGUGUAGCAGUGAAAUGCGUAGAUAUCGAGAGGAACACCAGUGGCGAAGGCGAGUCUCUGGACGACUCCUGACACUGAGGCACGAAAGCUAGGGGAGCAAACAG